rnacentral:rRNA from 1 species
CACGUAUUUAGCCGGUGCUUCUUACUCAGGUACCGUCAUUUUUCUUCCCUGCUGAUAGAGCUUUACAUACCGAAAUACUUCUUCGCUCACGCGGCGUCGCUGCAUCAGGGUUUCCCCCAUUGUGCAAUAUUCCCCACUGCUGCCUCCCGUAGGAGUUUGGGCCGUGUCUCAGUCCCAAUGUGGCCGGCACCCUCUCAGGUCGGCUACUGAUCGUCGCCUUGGUGGGCCUCUCCCCCGCAACUAGCUAAUCAGACGCGGGCCCAUCCCAUACCACCGGAGUUUUUCACACCAGGCCAUGCGGCCCUUGUGCGCUUAUGCGGUUUUAGCAGCCGUUUCCGGCUGUUAUCCCCCUGUAUGGGGCAGGUUGCCCACGCGUUACUCACCCGUCCGCCACUCAGUCACAAUUUCUCCUUCCCCGAAGGAAUCUAAAAGACGUGCUUCGUUCGACUUGCAUGUGUUAAGCACGCCGCCAGCGUUCAUCCUGAGCCAGACUCAAACUCUCUGACGUAACC